UACUCAGUGCUCCAAGUACACACUCAGUGCUCCAGAUACAGACUCAGUGCUACAGGUACAGAGUCAGUCCUAUAGGUACAGACUCAGUGCUCCAGGUACACACUCAGUGCUCCAGGUACACACUCAGUGCUCCAGGUACACACUCAGUGCUCCAGGUACACACUCAGUGCUCCAGGUACACACUCAGUGCUCCAGGUACAGACUCAGUGCUCCAGGUACACACUCAGUGCUCCAGGUACACACUCAGUGCUCCAG